AACCUUGAACAAAUUCUCUUUAAUGUAUCCUCUCUCUAAUCUUACUUUGUAUUAAUUUUCUAAAUAAAGUAAAAACAAAUGGUGUCAUUGAAAGCUUUUUUUGGACGGAAUCUCUGGAUUGCUGUGAGUUUUCAGGGCAGUAUGGCCAUGUUCCAGAAGCAUUCUCUCCUGAUGUUUCACCCAAAUCAAUGGCAGGCAUCCUCAGAAGUUGUCAACCUCUGAGAAUGGCUACCAUAGAAGUGGGCAAAACAUCAGGAGGACAUGGCCAUACAACCUAGAAAACUCACAGCAACCCAUUAAAACAAAUUCUCUUCUACUUCUCUCUCUAAUCUUAUGGUACUUUGAAUUAAUUUCUCAAAUAAAGCUAAAAAAUAAGGUGGAUUUGCACCAUGUUUGCAAAGCAUUAUGAUGAUCCUUGAUAAUAAGAAUGGGGAGGAAAAGGGGGGAUGUGGCAAGAUGAACAAGCCCAAUCACCUUUGUAUUGCUCCUAGACACUGAAACAAGCCAUCACAUUGUGUUGUUGAAAGGAAGAAAACUUCACAGAAUGCAAGUGGGACGUUAUACAGCACGAGGAAAAAUGUGGACCUGGUCCCUCUUUGCCAAUCUGCAGGAAAGAAGAAGGAAACUGAAAGCAAGAGAACUGCAAUGUAAGGCAUCAUGUAUGCAUUUUCCUCUUCUUUUUUAUAUAUGGUUUUUUUAGUGGCAUAUUUUCAGCAAUUGUGAUUGAUUGUUAAUAUGUCAUGCUUCAUGACAUCAUAAUUAGUUGCUCCUUGUAAUAUCCCACAGGCUGCCUGGCACUUUGCUCAUGGCAAAAUGGGUCCCCACCAUUGUGGAAGUCAGCUGCCUCAUUUGUGAAGUUCAGGGUCCACGGGGGUAGCCAUUCUUCCUCUUUAGUGUCUUCAUAAAUGAGGUUAUCUCCAUCAGAGUAUCUGAAAGAAUAGUUAACAGUGGUCAUUACCAGAACCCAGAGACAGAGCAAAAGAAUAACUCCCACCUUCCAAUAGAAAGUGGGAGGUAUUCCCUCUGCUCCCUCUGCUCAAUGCCAUGUUGCACAAGGCAAAUAAUUUCAUCCUAUAAUAAUAGUAGCUCCCCUCCUUGUCUCCUCCUGAAUAAACCAAAAGUGCCACUGUGGCAGAUCCCUUUACCCGGGCUGACCUCAUAACUACAACCCCAGAAAUCCUGCCAUUCCCUUUGCCCUUGUUUCCCCCAAAAUGCCCUUGAUGUAUUGGGUCUUGGUCCUCAGGAGACUCCUUCACUGUGGACUUGUGGUUGUUUGAGUUCUUUAUUUUUUAAUAUGAAUUGUCUGACCCCAAUUGACAGCCUUAAAACAACAAUAAUAAUAAGUUUACUGAACACAGUAUGAAAAUAUAUUAAACUCUCUUAUUCUGUUCAUUAAGGAAGUAUCCAUCAAGGACUCGGUGUCACAGUGGAUGAUGAAGCAGCUGCUCCCCCUAUGGCUGGAAUCAAGCAUACCCUCAGGAAGCUGGAAGCUGGAGAAUGUUAAAUUGCCUCUGUGUCUCUGUCUCUAUGUUUAUAUGGCAUUGAAUGUUUUCCAUGCAUGUGUACAUUGUGAUCCACCCUGAGUCCUCUUUGGUGUGAGAAAGACAGAAUAUAAAUAUAGUAAGUAAAUAAAUAAAUAAAUAAAUAAAUGACUUUGGAAGUGUCUACAGACAACUCUGGCUCUUUGGAUUAGAAAUGGAGAUGAACACCAACCCCCAAA
rnacentral:lncRNA from 1 species